rnacentral:rRNA from 1 species
AGAGUUUGAUCCUGGCUCAGAACGAACGCUGGCGGCGUGGAUUAGGCAUGCAAGUCGAACGAGAACGUUCCCUUCGGGGAGCUAGUACAGUGGCGAACGGGUGAGUAACGCGUGGGAAACCUGCCUUUGAGCGGGGGAUAACAGUUCUAACGGGCUGCUAAUACCGCAUGACGCUGUUGAUCGCAUGUUCAACAGUUAAAGAUGGCCUCUACAUGUAAGCCUCGCUUGAAGAUGGUCCCGCGUCCUAUUAGCUUGUUGGUGAGGUAACGGCUCACCAAGGCUACGAUGGGUAGCCGGCCUGAGAGGGUGGUCGGCCACACUGGGACUGAGAUACGGCCCAGACUCCUACGGGAGGCAGCAGUCGAGAGGCUUCGGCAAUGGGGGAAACCCUGACCGAGCGACGUCGCGUGGGUGAUGAAGGUCCUCGGACCGUAAAACCCUGUCAGAUGGGAUGAAGUGCCGUUUGGUUAAUAGCCACGCGGCUUGACAGUACCGUCAGAGGAAGCUCCGGCCAACUCCGUGCCAGCAGCCGCGGUAACACGGGGGGAGCAAGCGUUGUUCGGAAUCAUUGGGCGUAAAGAGCUCGUAGGCGGCUCCGUAAGUCAGGGGUGAAAUCCAAUGGCUCAACCAUUGACACGCCCCUGAAACUACGGACCUUGAGUCCGGGAGAGGAAAGCGGAAUUCCAGGAGUAGCGGUGAAAUGCGUAGAUAUCUGGAAGAACACCAGUGGCGAAGGCGGCUUUCUGGCCCGGUACUGACGCUGAGGAGCGAAAGCCAGGGGAGCGAACGGGAUUAGAUACCCCGGUAGUCCUGGCCGUAAACGAUGGGCACUAGGUGUGGGAAGUUCGACCCUUUCCGUGCCGGAGUUAACGCAUUAAGUGCCCCGCCUGGGGAGUACGACCGCAAGGUUGAAACUCAAAGGAAUUGACGGGGGCCCGCACAAGCGGUGGAGCAUGUGGUUUAAUUCGAUGAUACGCGAAGAACCUUACCGGGGCUUGACAUGCAGUGGACCGCCAUGGAAACAUGGUUUCCCCUUUUGGGGCUGUUGCGCAGGUGCUGCAUGGUUGUCGUCAGCUCGUGUCGUGAGAUGUUGGGUUAAGUCCCGCAACGAGCGCAACCCUUGUCCUUAGUUGCCAUCAGGUUAUGCUGGGCACUCUACGGAGACUGCCGGUGAUAAACCGGAGGAAGGUGGGGAUGACGUCAAAUCAUCAUGGCCCUUACGUCCCGGGCUACACACGUGCUACAAUGGCCGGCACAGAGGGCUGCGAUGCCGCAAGGUGGAGCGAAUCCCAAAAAGCCGGUCUCAGUUCGGAUUGCAGUCUGCAACUCGACUGCAUGAAGUCGGAAUCGCUAGUAAUCGCGGAUCAGCAGGCCGCGGUGAAUACGUUCCCGGGCCUUGUAC